UUUUCAAGGCCACCUACGUGUUUGCAAAAUCUGUAUCCCUCAAACACUUGUGUGCAGAAAAGACAGAGCUUUUGGCAGGGAAGCAACUGUCAUCUCUCACGUUAAAUCUAGAUAAUAAGCAUGGAGAAAGCAGUCAGCAGUGACGAAAUUGUGGGAGAAAGUGCAAACUCCACCAGCAAGGAAAGCCACUGGGAAUUUCUACGCCAUCAACUCCGCACAGCGACUAAUUACACCAAUGCAGUGGAAAGUUUUAAGACCAAUGUUCUCAGCAAUCAUCUGGGAGAAAGCAGAUCAUCGUUCGAAAACUGGGUGAAAGUUGUGAAUAAUGUGGCUGUCGGGAUGACCCCGUGUCACCCGUCCGACCCACAUUGCACGUGUGGAGGCACGUGUUCUAACAAUCACACCAACGAUCUUGCAUCCACUGAUGCCAACCGAUGUUCCUGCAACUGUUCGAAUUGUUACCAUCGCCGACCUGAAAACUCCCCCAAACCGGAACCUCCUCGACCUGAAUACCUCACUCAUAUUAAACACGUUUCUCAUUUCCAGUGUUAAAUUAAAAACCAUAAUGGUUGUUACAGCAAUAUAUUCGUAUACAAAGAAACAUUAAUGAUACUCAAAGUUUGUGAUUGUAAACUAGUAAUAUUUAUUCGUGUUUAUCAGGAUAUGUAGUUUUCCAAGUGUCAGAUAUUUAGUUUCAAAAAUUCUGCAAGGUUUUGUCAACUAACAAACGAUCAGAAUUUUUUUUUAAAAGAUUUUAGAUUGGAUAGUGAAUACAUUCACACACAAAUAUAUUCAUAAGAUGAUGUUUUUGAGAUUCCUAAAGAAUAGAUAGAAAAAUAUAUGUUUGUAAAUACUUACAUGAAAUUACCCACCUUAGUAUAUUCCUUAUUAUUUUCUCAAAUAUCAAGGUGCAUGACAAAUCCUUGUUCCUACAAAUUAAAUAUGUAAUUAUGUAAAAUAUAUUUUCUUGUUAGGUAACCCUCAUUUCUUAAUUACAUACAUAAUUACUUACUCUAAUUUAGGUCGUAUAUGUAUAUGGAUAAACAUCUUUGUUCUUUAGCUGUACAAAUUACAACUAGCUUAAACAAUGCUCUAAUAAUGCAAUAAAUAUCUUGUCUCAAUUUUC